rnacentral:piRNA from 1 species
UCUGACACGGAUCGUCAGUGCACGUC